rnacentral:rRNA from 1 species
GAUUCCCCCAGUAGCGGCGAGCGAACGGGGAGGAGCCCAGAGCCUGAAUCAGUGUGUGUGUUAGUGGAAGCGUCUGGAAAGGCGCGCGAUACAGGGUGACAGCCCCGUACACAAAAAUACACAUAUUGUGAGCUCGAUGAGUAGGGCGGGACACGUGGUAUCCUGUCUGAAUAUGGGGGGACCAUCCUCCAAGGCUAAAUACUCCUGACUGACCGAUAGUGAACCAGUACCGUGAGGGAAAGGCGAAAAGAACCCCGGCGAGGGGAGUGAAAAAGAACCUGAAACCGUGUACGUACAAGCAGUGGGAGCACGCUUAGGCGUGUGACUGCGUACCUUUUGUAUAAUGGGUCAGCGACUUAUAUUCUGUAGCAAGGUUAACCGAAUAGGGGAGCCGAAGGGAAACCGAGUCUUAACUGGGCGUUAAGUUGCAGGGUAUAGACCCGAAACCCGGUGAUCUAGCCAUGGGCAGGUUGAAGGUUGGGUAACACUAACUGGAGGACCGAACCGACUAAUGUUGAAAAAUUAGCGGAUGACUUGUGGCUGGGGGUGAAAGGCCAAUCAAACCGGGAGAUAGCUGGUUCUCCCCGAAAGCUAUUUAGGUAGCGCCUCGUGAAUUCAUCUCCGGGGGUAGAGCACUGUUUCGGCA